AACGAACGCUGGCGGCAGGCUUAACACAUGCAAGUCGAACGGUUGUAGCAAUACAGCAGUGGCAGACGGGUGAGUAACACGUGGGAACCUUCCUAGGGGUACGGAACAACUCAGGGAAACUUGGGCUAAUACCGUAUACGUCCGUGAGGAGAAAGAUUUAUCGCCCCUAGACGGGCCCGCGUAGGAUUAGGUAGUUGGUGAGGUAACGGCUCACCAAGCCUACGAUCCUUAGCUGAUCUGAGAGGAUGAUCAGCCACACUGGGACAGAGACACGGCCCAGACUCCUACGGGAGGCAGCAGUGGGGAAUCUUGGACAAUGGGCGCAAGCCUGAUCCAGCCAUGCCGCGUGAGUGAAGAAGGCCUUCGGGUUGUAAAGCUCUUUUACCAGGGACGAUAAUGACGGUACCUGGAGAAUAAGCCCCGGCAAACUUCGUGCCAGCCGCCGCAGUAA
rnacentral:rRNA from 1 species